CCCACCCUUGGAUUACCCAUAAUCCCAGGGAUCAUGAGUUAAGUUUAAACUCUAGAAAUCCCCACUCCAUUAUUGCAAGAGGCUUUGGGGGGACAACUAGACACAAACCGUUAAC